GUCUUUUGCGUACUUCUUGUUUCCUUGGUGGGUUCGCCCACCACUAGGACAAACAUAAACCUUUUGUAAUUGCAAUCAGCGUCAGUAACAAAUUAAUAAUUACAACUUUCAACAACGGAUCUCUUGGUUCUGGCAUCGAUGAAGAACGCAGCGAAAUGCGAUAAGUAGUGUGAAUUGCAGAAUUCAGUGAAUCAUCGAAUCUUUGAACGCACAUUGCGCCCUUUGGUAUUCCAAAGGGCAUGCCUGUUCGAGCGUCAUUUGUACCCUCAAGCUUUGCUUGGUGUUGGGCGUCUUGUCUCUAGCUUUGCUGGAGACUCGCCUUAAAGUAAUUGGCAGCCGGCCUACUGGUUUCGGAGCGCAGCACAAGUCGCACUCUCUAUCAGCAAAGGUCUAGCAUCCAUUAAGCCUUUUUUUCAACUUUUGACCUCGGAUCAGGUAGGGAUACCCGCUGAACUUAAGC
rnacentral:rRNA from 1 species